UACGUAGGGUGCGAGCGUUAUUCGGAAUUACUGGGCGUAAAGCGCACGUAGGCGGCUUAGCAAGUUGGAUGUGAAAUCCCUCGGCUCAACCAAGGAAGUGCAUCCAAAACUGCUGAGCUUGAGUACUUAAGAGGAUCGCGGAAUUCCCGGUGUAGAGGUGAAAUUCGUAGAUAUCGGGAGGAACACCAGUGGCGAAGGCGGCGAUCUGGGAAGAUACUGACGCUGAGGUGCGAAAGCGUGGGGAGCAAACAGG
rnacentral:rRNA from 1 species